rnacentral:rRNA from 1 species
UACGAAGGGGGCUAGCGUUGCUCGGAAUCACUGGGCGUAAAGGGUGCGUAGGCGGGUCUUUAAGUCAGGGGUGAAAUCCUGGAGCUCAACUCCAGAACUGCCUUUGAUACUGAGGGUCUUGAGUUCGGGAGAGGUGAGUGGAACUGCGAGUGUAGAGGUGAAAUUCGUAGAUAUUCGCAAGAACACCAGUGGCGAAGGCGGCUCACUGGCCCGGUACUGACGCUGAGGUGCGAAAGCGUGGGGAGCAAACAGG